CUUACCAUGCAGUCGAACGGGAUCCAGGCAGCUUGCUGUCUGGUGAGAGUGGCGAACGGGUGAGUAAUGCGUGACCAACCUGCCCCAUGCUUCGGAAUAGCUCCUGGAAACGGGUGGUAAUGCCGGAUGCUCCGCACUGUCGCAUGAUGGUGUGGGAAAGGGUUUACCGGCAUGGGAUGGGGUCGCGUCCUAUCAGCUUGUUGGCGGGGUGAUGGCCUGCCAAGGCUUCGACGGGUAGCCGGCCUGAGAGGGCGACCGGCCACAUUGGGACUGAGAUACGGCCCAGACUCCUACGGGAGGCAGCAGUGGGGAAUAUUGCACAAUGGGCGAAAGCCUGAUGCAGCGACGCCGCGUGCGGGAUGACGGCCUUCGGGUUGUAAACCGCUUUUGAUUGGGAGCAAGCGAGAGUGAGUGUACCUUUCGAAUAAGCACCGGCUAACUACGUGCCAGCAGCCGCGGUAAUACGUAGGGUGCAAGCGUUAUCCGGAUUUAUUGGGCGUAAAGAGCUCGUAGGCGGUUCGUCGCGUCUGGUGUGAAAGUCCAUCGCUUAACGGUGGAUCGGCGCCGGGUACGGGCGGACUGGAGUGCGGUAGGGGAGACUGGAAUUCCCGGUGUAACGGUGGAAUGUGUAGAUAUCGGGAAGAACACCGAUGGCGAAGGCAGGUCUCUGGGCCGUCACUGACGCUGAGGAGCGAAAGCGUGGGGAGCGAACAGGAUUAGAUACCCUGGUAGUCCACGCCGUAAACGGUGGAUGCUGGAUGUGGGGCCCGUUCCACGGGUUCCGUGUCGGAGCUAACGCGUUAAGCAUCCCGCCUGGGGAGUACGGCCGCAAGGCUAAAACUCAAAGAAAUUGACGGGGCCCGCACAAGCGGCGGAGCAUGCGGAUUAAUUCGAUGCAACGCGAAGAACCUUACCUGGGCUUGACAUGUGCCGGACGGCCGCGGAGACGCGGUUUCCCUUCGGGGCCGGUUCACAGGUGGUGCAUGGUCGUCGUCAGCUCGUGUCGUGAGAUGUGGGGUCAAGUCCCGCAACGAGCCGC
rnacentral:rRNA from 1 species